GACGAACGCUGGCGGCGUGCCUAAUACAUGCAAGUAGAACGCUGAAGGAGGAGCUUGCUUCUCUGGAUGAGUUGCGAACGGGUGAGUAACGCGUAGGUAACCUGCCUGGUAGCGGGGGAUAACUAUUGGAAACGAUAGCUAAUACCGCAUAAUAGCAGUUAUUGCAUGAUAACUGUUUGAAAGGUGCAAUUGCACCACUACCAGAUGGACCUGCGUUGUAUUAGCUAGUUGGUGGGGUAACGGCUCACCAAGGCGACGAUACAUAGCCGACCUGAGAGGGUGAUCGGCCACACUGGGACUGAGACACGGCCCAGACUCCCACGGGAGGCAGCAGUAGGGAAUCUUCGGCAAUGGACGGAAGUCUGACCGAGCAACGCCGCGUGAGUGAAGAAGGUUUUCGGAUCGUAAAGCUCUGUUGUAAGAGAAGAACGAGUGUGAGAGUGGAAAGUUCACAC
rnacentral:rRNA from 1 species